ACCAGCGAUUACGGACGGCCGCAUGUGACAACAUCGAUGUUUUAAAACGGACCGCUACACCCGCUGCGACAGAUGUGCAACAUGGCGUGGCGAUACAGCACGACAAACCUACAAUUGCUCGGCUAAGCACUUCAGCAGCACUUCUGUGGUUGAAAGCAGCACCACCAACAACAAUAACAACAACAAACCACUGAGAGUGGAAGAAAGGCUAUAACAACCUACAUCCAUCUGUCCUGUUGGAAGGUAACGCCAACCGAAGUCUCCAUCAUCUACUGUCACAGUGAGUCUGCUCAUCCAUCUGUAAGCUGGCCACGAUGUCGGGUGUGUACUUAAAGUCCAAGAUGAUCCUGGAGAAGCUGAGCGCUACCAUUUCAUGCCAGAGCUGUGGCAGCCUGUGCGACUGCUGCUGGUGCUGCGAGAAGCCGAAGAAGGAGGGCAAGGUGCGGCGCCUGGACAUCCAGCAUCCCAUCAUCACUAACGAGCCUCCGCCUGCCGCGCAG